GGUGGCUCAGUGGUAGAGUGCUUGCCUUGCAUGCAGAGGACCUGGGUUCGAUUCCUCAGCACCA
rnacentral:tRNA from 1 species